UACAGGGGGGCAAGCGUUGUUCGGAAUUACUGGGCGUAAAGGGCUCGUAGGCGGCCAACUAAGUCACACGUGAAAUCCCCAGGCUCAACCUGGAACUGCGUGUGAUACUGGAUGGCUUGAAUUCGGGAGAGGAUGCAGAAUUCCAGGUGUAGCGGUGAAAUGCGUAGAUAUCUGGAGGAAUACCGGUGGCGAAGGCGGCAUCCUGGACCGACAUUGACGCUGAUGAGCGAAAGCUAGGGGAGCAAACGGGG
rnacentral:rRNA from 1 species